rnacentral:rRNA from 1 species
GAAACUAACCAGGAUUCCCCCAGUAACGGCGAGUGAACGGGGAUUAGCCCAGCAUCGAAGCCUAUGUCCAUUUGGGUAUAAGGCAAUGUGAUGUUAUGGAGUAUGCCUGGGGUCACUGAUCAACUCGAAGUCCAAUAUUGAAUGUGGCUUUUGUAUUUGGCCCAAAGCGGGUGAUAGGCCCGUGCGAGUUGAUUGUAAGCUAUGUCUAGUGGCCUUCUAGAUGCAUAUUCCGUGGAGUCGGAUUGCUUGAGAAUGCAGUCCAAAGUUGGUGGUAAACUCCAUCAAAGGCUAAAUACUGGCACGAGUCCGAUAGCAAACAAGUACCGUGAGGGAAAGUUGAAAAGUACUCUGAAGAGAGAGUAAAUAGUACGUGAAACCACAUACAGGUAAACUGGUGGAGUCCAGCUGCGUGUUUUGGGGACUUAGCUGGUGUGUGCAUUACAGAUGUUGUAAACUGCUACAUGUGGCUUGCUUCUAAUGGCAAGUUAGGCUUAUGCCUAAUUCAUGUCCGCCUUGUAGGCGGUAUGGGCUAUAUGUAGGUGUCUGUUUGCAUGCCAGUGUCAUUCCUCAAGACUGACAUCACAGUCAAUAUUACUGCUAGUGUGUGAUGGUCAAACCGUCGAGUGAUGAGCCUUGAAGUUCGUCCUCUACGUGGAUGGCAGGUGGUUUGAUCGUUUGCCUUUGUGUGGACGAUUGAACUUAAAGUAUGGUUACGACCAGCCGAUCAUCAUGUUGUACUUUGCUUACAUUAAACUGUGCAGUAUAUUGGUAAUGAGUGCCGUGGCCUAACAGCGUUGAUACCGUAUUGUUACGCGUUGAGUUAUGUGUAAAAGCGUGCUUAAUGCGUGACUUGUAUGUGUAUUGGCGUGGUGCGGUUUCGUCUUUGCAUAAACUGUGGUGUUGUGGUA